rnacentral:rRNA from 1 species
GACGAACGCUGGCGGCGUGCUUAACACAUGCAAGUCGAACGGAAAGGCCCUGCUUUUUUGGGGUGCUCGAGUGGCGAACGGGUGCGUAACACGUGAGUAACCUGCCCUUGAUUUUGGGAUAACUUCAGGAAACUGGGGCUAAUACCGUAUAGGAGCUCCUGCUGCAUGGUGGGGGUUGGAUAGUCGCGGCGGGUGGGGAUGGAUGCGCGGCUUAUCAGCUUGUUGGUGGGGGAGUGGCUUACCAAGGCUUUGACGGGUAGGCGGCCUGUGAGGGUGGACGGGGACAAUGGGCCUAAGAUACGGACCAGACUCGUACGGGGGACAGAGGUGGGGAGUCUUGCACAGUGGGCGGAAGUCUGAGACGGCAACGCCGCGUGCGGAAUGACGGCCUUCGGGUUGUAAACCGCUUUCGCCUGUGACGAAGCGGGAGUGACGGUAAUGAAUAAAGAAGCACCGGCUAACUACGUG